rnacentral:rRNA from 1 species
AUUGAACGCUGGCGGAAUGCUUUACACAUGCAAGUCGAACGGUAGAGGGGGCAACCCCUCGAGAGUGGCGAACGGGUGAGUAAUAUAUCGGAACGUGCCCAGUCGUGGGGGAUAACGUAGCGAAAGUUACGCUAAUACCGCAUACGAUCUAAGGAUGAAAGCGGGGGAUCGCAAGACCUCGCGCGAUUGGAGCGGCCGAUAUCAGAUUAGGUAGUUGGUGGGGUAAAGGCUCACCAAGCCAACGAUCUGUAGCUGGUCUGAGAGGACGACCAGCCACACUGGAACUGAGACACGGUCCAGACUCCUACGGGAGGCAGCAGUGGGGAAUUUUGGACAAUGGACGCAAGUCUGAUCCAGCCAUUCCGCGUGCAGGAUGAAGGCCCUCGGGUUGUAAACUGCUUUUGUACGGAACGAAAAGGUCUCUCUUAAUACGGGGGACUCAUGACGGUACCGUAAGAAUAAGCACCGGCUAACUACGUGCCAGCAGCCGCCGUAA